GGGGUGCAGCAGGCGCGAAAACUUUACAAUGCUGGCAACAGCGAUAAGGGGACCUUGAGUGCCAGGAUACAAUCCUGGCUGUCGUGAUGCCUAAAAAGCAUUAUAUAGCAAGGGCCGGGCAAGACCGGUGCCAGCCGCCGCGGUAACACCGGCGGCUCGAGUGGUAACCGCUAUUAUUGGGUCUAAAGGGUCUGUAGCCGGCUUGGUUAGUCUCUUGGGAAAUCCGGCAGCUUAACUGUCGGGCUUUCAGGAGAUACUGCCAGGCUCGAGACCGGGAGAGGUGAGAGGUACUUCAUGGGUAGGGGUGAAAUCUUGUAAUCCUUGAAGGACCACCAGUGGCGAAGGCGUCUCACCAGAACGGAUCUGACGGCAAGGGACGAAAGCUAGGGGCACGAACCGGAUUAGAUACCCGGGUAGUCCUAGCCGUAAACGAUACUCGCUAGGUGUCGGCCACGGUGCGACCGUGGUCGGUGCCGUAGGGAAGCCGUGAAGCGAGCCACCUGGGAAGUACGGCCGCAAGGCUGAAACUUAAAGGAAUUGGCGGGGGAGCACAAGGGCGAUUCGCG
rnacentral:rRNA from 1 species